ACCUUAUUCGUCUUCUGUCCAACAAAAGAUGUCUCAAGUUUGUCAAAAUUUAAAUGUAUUUAAAUAUGACUUAGUGUAUAGAUGCAUUCAAACUUAAUCAAAGUUGAGACAUUUUUUGUUAGACGGAGAAAAUAGCAA
rnacentral:pre_miRNA from 1 species